rnacentral:rRNA from 1 species
GUCGUAACAAGGUUUCGUAGGUGAACGUGC